rnacentral:rRNA from 1 species
CGUGAAGUCGGAAUCGCUAGUAAUCGCGAAUCAGAAUGUCGCGGUGAAUACGUUCCCGGGCCUUGUACACACCGCCCGUCACACCAUGGGAGUGGGUUGCACCAGAAGUAGAUAGCUUAACCUUCGGGAGGGCGUUUACCACGGUGUGAUUCAUGACUGGGGUGAAGUCGUAACAAGGUAACCCUAGGGGAACCUGGGGUUGGAUCACCUCCUUACCUUAA